UCAUUACAGGAUAUGGGAAGACCCAGCUGGUGCCUCCUUCCCUGUGCCAGGCUCAUCUACUAGUUCUAGGUGAGCUGGGGAGGACAGGACUUCCUCUUCCCUUGCAU